UAACCCCAGAGGGCUCCUUCCUAAUCACCUUUGGCAGAUGGAUGUAACCACUUACUUACCGUUUGGCCGCCUUAAAUACAUCCAUGUCUCCAUCGACACCUUCUCUAACUAUAUUUUUGCUACUGCACACUCCGGUGAAGCUUUUGUAGAUGUCCAAAAUCAUCUUUUCGCAGCAUUCGCAGUUCUGGGCAUGCCAAAGGCUCUUAAAACCGACAAUGGUUCAGCCUAUACCUCUUCAGCAUUCCAGACCUUUUGUGCAAAUUUUCACAUCACUCAUACAACAGGCAUUCCCUAUAAUUCUCAAGGUCAAGCCAUUGUCGAAAGAGCCCACUCCACCUUCAAAAUGUACCUCAAAAAAUUAAAAGAGGGGGAAAUACUACAGGGGAAAAUAAAAUAUUCACCUCACUUACACCUUUCAUUAGUACUCUUUGUUUUAAAUUUUUUGAAUGUUGACUCGGUUGGCCGCACUGCCGCCGAGCGUUUUUGGCAGCCUGAGCGGGCUCCCCUCCUCUAUGCGAAGUGGCGUGACCGCGCCACCGCGGAGUGGAGGGGACCCGACCCGGUCCUACGCCAGGGCCGAGGAUGCGCUUGUAUCCUUCCCCAGGAUGAGGAGACGCCACGCUGGCUCCCGCUUCGAUGCGUCCGCAUUGUCCGUGUUGGUUUGCAGAAUGAGGCGGCUCCAGAUCCGCUCCGGGAGGACGAGGAGACGCCCCGCCUCGGAUCAGAGGAAAAUAACAUGCGGAGACAUCAAAGCCCUGACCGCUCGAGCUGAGGCCACCGCCAUCGAUGGCCCUGAGGCGCCCCAUUAUGGAUGCGUGGUCACUUCAUCAGUCUCCCGAAGAAUCCGCUCUUGGUAUGGAACUGAGCCACCUAGAAGAGACACUUUGACACCUCAUGUAAUGGUGGAGAAUUGGGACAUCAACGAGGUUGUCCUUCAACAUCGGAGGCCCCUGCCUGUUGGCCGUUUCGGACCCGCUUCCAGAUCCCUUGAGACCCCAUACCUUGACUAUCCCCUCUGUAAAUCUGACCUAACGUGGAAAACCUACGGACCCUCUUGGAAAACCUGCGUUCAUCACAACCCAGAGAUUGUGACUCCCCAUGGCAUACCUGAUACUUAUAUAAUUGACUGGUCAAAAGACGGGGAUCUCCCUUUGCGCCGCUCCCCCCCCCCCCCCCCCCCCGCCUUCAGGAUAUGGGCCAUACGACCACAAUAAUUCUGCUCCCGGGG
rnacentral:lncRNA from 1 species